AUAAAAACCAUUUAAUUUCACUAUAAAUGAAAAAAUUUAAUCAUUUUAUUAGGGUAUUUAUUUAAAAAUAAUUGUUUCUGAAGAUAUAAAUAUAUUUAUAGUGAAACUAUAAUUACAUGGAAAACAACAGCCAAGUAAAAUUCGAAUGGUCUAAAGAAGCCGUGCUGCAACUGACUGAGAUGUGGCAAAAAUAUGAGUUCCUCUAUAAUCCCAAACACAAAUUUUACCGCAACCAGAAAGCACGGCAUCAAGCUUAUAAUGAUAUGGCCAAUAAAUUAAAAAUUUUUAACACUAACAUCGAAGCCAUCGAUGUAAAGACUAAAAUAACAUAUUUACGCGGACAAUAUGCAAGGGAAGUCGCUAAAGAGAAGAAAAGAGGUGCGAGUGCAGAUCAAGUUUACGUCCCAUCUGCUUAUUGGUUCCAUCAACUAUCCUUCUUGGAUGAUUUUAUAAAAGUUCGGAAAGAGUGCAGUAAUGUAUUUGAGAGGAUGGAUUCCCGGAAAAUAAAUGAAAAUUUGUGUGUUAUUUGUCUGGAUGACAAUGUGAUCUUAGACUGGAAUGAAAACGUUGCCGAAUUAUGUAAUAUGAGCUACAAAGAUUGCUACUACAAAUAUACAAAGCUGCAGCCAAGCACAUUGGAUUCUUUUCCGUCAAAUUUAUGUAAAAUAUGUUCAAAUGGACUUAGAAAGGCCCAUUUAUUAUUUGAAAAAGCAUUAGAAUCUUUUAAAUUUCUUCAAGAAGCACUGACAAAUAAAGAAGAAUUCGAUAUGGAAAUAAAUACGAGUCAAGAUACAAUGAACUUCGAAAUUAAGAUAUUGGAUGUUUGUGAGUCAAAUGAUUUAAUUGAAGAAGAAUCUCUCACAGAUGAUAAGACAUUAAUAGAUAUUGAAGAUGAAAUAAUAUGUCCCACAAAUGCAUACGAUAAUGUUGUACGUAUAGAAAAUGCAAUAAAUGAUAGUAUUUCUAAGGAAAUGCAUAUGCAUGAAGAUGAAAUAAUUGAACAUGGUGCCAUUACUCCAAUAGCAAAUAGUGAACCUUCGUCCGAGAUAUUAUUGGAACAGGAGCUCAGUCAAAGUUCUGAUACAAUACCUACUACCUCCUCAACUACGGUUAAAGUCAGACAAAUUAAUUCAUAUCUGUGUGCAUAUUGCUCUUUAAAAGUCAACAAUAAAUCCACGCUGAGAACUCACGAAGCCACACACAGUGAAAAUAGAAAACGAACAGAAACUUGUCCCAAAUGUGGGAUUAAAUUUUAUACGAAAAUGGCCUUAAAAAAUCAUAUGAGAAUACAUGAAGAGAAUCGGCAAAAAAAAUACAAAUGUGAAUUUUGUGAUAAAGAAUUCUUCAAUCGGGGAGCACUUAAUGUUCAUAGGCGUAUACAUCUUGGUCAGAUGGUGCCAUGCCGACUAUGUCCAAAAGAAUUUUUCCGACAAGUUGAUUUAGACAGACAUUUAUUGAGGCAUUCAGCAACCAAUCUCCAAAAAAAAGAUGGAAAGUUGAAAUAUACAGUACAAUGUCAAUAUUGUGAUAAGACUGUGCCCACUACCAAAUGGAAGGAACAUAAAGCUGCUCAUCUCAAUCAACCUCAAGUGAAAUGUAAAGUUUGCGAUAAGAAAUUCUUUGCAAGAGUCAAAUGCGUCCGACAUUUACAACGAGUACAUCAUAAGACCCAAGAUCAAUAUGAAACAUUCAUUCAUUAUUAUGAUGACUAUAAGACUCGUAUAUCCCAUUUAAUGAUACAACAACAAGAAAAAGUACAAUCAGUUACUAAUUAAAUUUCUACCAUAGUACCAUACAAAAACCAAUUAACAUAAGAAAAUGAAGUUAAUAUUCAGUUAAUGAAUUGCUUCGCUCUACAAUAAAAUAUCAAUUAAUUUUUGUGAUCAAUAAGAAAAAAUAAUAAUUAUAAA